rnacentral:rRNA from 1 species
GACAGAGGGUGCCAAGCGUUAGGCGGAAUCACUGGGCUUAAAGCGUGAUGUAGGCGGGCGAUCAAGUACCUUGUGGAAAUCCCACGGCUCAACCGUGGAACUGCUGGGGUAUACUGGUUGUCUUGAGCCAGCUAGGGGCGAGCGGAACAGACGGUGGAGCGGUGAAAUGCGUAGAUAUCGUCUGGAACGCCGAAGGUGAAAACAGCUCGGCUGGGGCUGCGCUGACGCUGAGACACGAAAGCCAGGGGAGCGAACGGG